AUGGUCUUAGCUUGCUAAGGCCGAUGGCGACCGGCGCACGGGUGAGUAACACGUAUCCAACUUGCCGUCUACUCUUGGACAGCCUUCUGAAAGGAAGAUUACUACAAGAUGGCAUCAUGAGUCCGCAUGUUCACAUGAUUAAAGGUAUUCCGGUAGACGAUGGGGAUGCGUUCCAUUAGAUAGUAGGCGGGGUAACGGCCCACCUAGUCUUCGAUGGAUAGGGGUUCUGAGAGGAAGGUCCCCCACAUUGGAACUGAGACACGGUCCAAACUCCUACGGGAGGCAGCAGUGAGGAAUAUUGGUCAAUGGGCGAGGGCCUGAACCAGCCAAGUAGCGUGAAGGAUGACUGCCCUAUGGGUUGUAAACUUCUUUUAUAAAGGAAUAAAGUCGGGUAUGGAUACCCGUUUGCAUGUACUUUAUGAAUAAGGAUCGGCUAACUCCGUGCCAGCAGCCGCGGUAAUACGGAGGAUCCGAGCGUUAUCCGGAUUUAUUGGGUUUAAAGGGAGCGUAGGUGGACAUGUAAGUCAGUUGUGAAAGUUUGCGGCUCAACCGUAAAAUUGCAGUUGAUACUGUGUGUCUUGAGUACAGUAGAGGUGGGCGGAAUUCGUGGUGUAGCGGUGAAAUGCUUAGAUAUCACGAAGAACUCCGAUUG
rnacentral:rRNA from 1 species